rnacentral:rRNA from 1 species
CAGCACCUCAAGUGGUCAGGAUGAUUAUUGGGCCUAAAGCAUCCGUAGCCGGCUCUGUAAGUUUUCGGUUAAAUCUGUACGCUCAACGUACAGACUGCCGGGAAUACUGCAGAGCUAGGGAGUGGGAGAGGUAGACGGUACUCGGUAGGAAGGGGUAAAAUCCUUUGAUCUAUUGAUGACCACCUGUGGCGAAGGCGGUCUACCAGAACACGUCCGACGGUGAGGGAUGAAAGCUGGGGGAGCAAACCGGAUUAGAUACCCGAGUAGUCC